AGUAACACACCUUUUUUUAUUAAAAUAAACAACUUUAGUUAUUCUUAGAACCUUAAAUAGUUGUGUUUGGGCUUAAUUAUAAUAAAGCUCGUCAGACGUUUUCCUGCUCCACCUUAAAUCGUGCAGCAAUGGCUUACUGACAUUGACAUAUUUAAGCACUGUUUAAGGUGGAGUGGGAAAUACAAAGAAGCUGGCCAAAAGUAAAAAAAGAAAAAAAAAGUAAUUAUAAAUUUUAUAAUUUGUUAUAAACACAACUAAGUUACUGUCAAUAAAAAUAUGAGGCUGCAUUUAACUUAUUAUUUUCCAGCAUAAACUUUUCCAUUCCACCUUAAAUUUAUUCUCACGUCGUGGCGCACGAAGGAGCUGGCCAGUGUCCAUAUCAGCAAAAUGUGAAUCUUUAGAAUAAUAAUUGGGUAAUAUUUGCUAGCCUAAAUCAGCAUAUGUGUAGUAAUAUUAAACAAUAUCUGUUCUGAUUUCAACUUAAAAACACCUGUUCAAAGUUACUACAAUAUAUUAAUUAUAUGCAUUUGCUUAGUAGGGCUGCUGAGGGCUGGGGACCUGAGAUAAGGUGUAAUCAUUUACCCAUCAAAUCACCUAACAAGGAUCAGCCUGGAUCCUAACAGUACUUGAUGCACUGAGCAGUGACAUUAUACAUAGAGUAGUUAAGCAGGAUUUGGUAUCCGCAAAAUGGUUCGAGGUCCUCAGCCCUCGCCUCCCCCAGCACAGAGGAAAACUACCAAGGGCAGUACUCUCAUUAUAGGAGAUUCAAUUGUUAGACAUUUAAAAGUAUCUAAGAGUAAUGGCACAAUUUCAUGUCUUCCAGAUGCUUGCAUGCUGGUAGUCGGCAAGCGGCUCCCUGGGGCGCAUUGCCAAAGCAGGAACCCCGGCACCAUCGCCCUCCACGUGGGGAUGAGCUUUCGGGAGCGACCGGCCCCGUUCCACAGAGACAGGCUUCUCUCUGUGAACAUCGAGGCGGUGCUACGCUGAGACUGACUGUCUCUACCCAGUCACACCAGCCAAGCUGCACUGUAGUGGUGUUAAGUGUCCAAGAAUGCUCUCAUCAGUGGAGGCACAGCUGGCUGCAAAAAACGUCUGUGUCUGCAUGUUUAUAUUAUGUGAAUUAAAAAUGGUUUUAUUAUUAAAAUAAUUGUAUUAAUGCCUGUUGAUUUAUAAAUUGUUUAAUUGAAAUCAAAUUUUAUUUAAGUAGCUUAAUUAAGUAUUGCAUUUAUAACUGAUGGUAUUUUAUUUAAUUAGCUUAAGUAUUGCAUUUAUAAGUGAUGGUAUUUUAUUUUAAUUA